AUGGGCUGCUCAAAAACCAAAAUAAUGCUGUGAAUUGAUCUUUGAAAAUACAGCCAGGUGAACAAAAUGUACGUUUUAACCGCUUCAAAGGAUCCGUGUGAUGCAGCAGGGAGGCAGCACGCCUUUCAGUUCCGCCCACAGGUGACACCGGGACUGGGAGAGCCGCAGAGGAGGGCCAGCUGCUGCAGCGAUCAAUCUCAGCAUCAAUGACUGCAGACUGCUAUGAAGUGCAGGCGAGAUAUUCGAUCAUCAAUGAGGGACCUUGUGGGUUCUCACUCGAAUAUCGGGAUUGAUUCAUCUUCAAAGAAAUCUUAAGUGGCUCGGUGCAUUUGCUGUAAUGGUUUUUGUUGACUAAAGCUUUUUUUCUCAAACCAUGAUCACCCCCCUCCCUUUAUAAAAAGCCUUCAAACUUCCGUUUUGAGAAAUUGCUUUGCCUUCCUUGGUGCUGCUUGUGAUUUCUUUUGUUUUCGUUUAUUGAUAAAACAGAUCUGUGUGUGUCUGUGUGUCUUGAUCAUUUACAUUUUGGUUAAGAUAUCAUUACAUAUACAUGCAAAAACAGCAGGGAUUCUCAACACAACUGCUCACGAG
rnacentral:lncRNA from 1 species